rnacentral:hammerhead_ribozyme from 1 species
AUCCAUCUGAAGAGUCCCAAAUAGGACGAAAUGCGCUUUAUCCUUGAU